GGAUGUGUAGCUCAGAGGCAGAGCGCGGUGCUGUUAACACCGGGGUCGAGAUUUCGAAAUUCUCCACGUCCGCCA
rnacentral:tRNA from 1 species